GUCAGAUUUGCAAGAUAUAAACUAGUAAUUAUGAAGAAAAAAGUGAGGACUCUAAAUGUAAUACUUAAUCUGAAUUUAAACUGAAUUUUCUCUCAAAAUGCUUAGUUUAAGAGAUAUACUAGAAUAAAAUUCAGAAUUGUGAGAUUGUUUUAAAAAAAAAAAAAUUCCAUAGUGGAAAUGCAUCUCUAUACGUUACCCUGCCAUGUAGCUUUGCUAAUUAUUGUUCUGAUGCAUCAAGCUGUGGCACUUGCUCAAUAAAGACAAUGUAACUUCAAAUUAGAAUGAUUAAAAGAUCAAACAUAUAUCAUAAAAAAAUGUAACAAAAAAAUGUUAAUUGUGCAACCGACAACUGACAGUAAUCAAAGCCUCUGUUUACAAUAUCCCAUCAAACUGUGACGGAUUGCAAAGUUUAAACCUUUAAACAUAUACUUUGUUUGUUUGUUGACAGCUGUUUUCCUUGCACUCUGCCCAUUUUCUCCUGAUCUGUUUGGAUCAGUGUGUUAUUAUGAAUGAACGCAGAGCUGUGUUUAUGAAUGCACAAUCACAGCAGGAGAGCAGCGAGACGGAGACAGUCAGAGACGAGCCGAGAGCGAGAGAUACAUGAGUAUUAAUGUAAGCUAUGGAACCUAUAAUCAUACGCAGCGUUCUCAAACUAAUUUCGAUUGCUGGUGAGAAGCGGCCCACCUUAGAGAGAGCAGAUCUGACAGACUCCUGUGUGAAAGGAAAAUCUGCUGAAUUCUGGAGGAGACAGGGUGUUAUGGAUGCUUCUGCUUUGUCUUACAGUGUUGGAUUUGCCAUUUAAACUGAGAAUGAAAUGCAAGAAGUCUGUUUGCAGAGGUGACUGCUCUUGACAGAUUUCCC
rnacentral:lncRNA from 1 species